UACCUGCAGCUCGAGUGGUAACCGCUAUUAUUGGGCCUAAAGCGUCCGUAGCCGGUAUGGUAAAUAUCUGGGUAAAUCGUGAGGCUUAACUUCACGAAUUUCGGAUAGACUGCCAGACUUGGGAUCGGGGGAGGUCAGAGGUACUCCAGGGGUAGCGGUGAAAUGUUGUAAUCCUUGGAGGACCACCGGUAGCGAAGGCGUCUGACUAGAACGAGUCCGACGGUGAGGGACGAAGCCCUGGGGCGCAAACCGGAUUAGAUACCCGGGUAGUCCAGGGUGUAAACGAUGUGGGCUUUGUAUUGGAGGUCCCACGUGGGCGUCCAGUGCAGAAGAGAAGUUGUUAAGCCCACCGCCUGGGAAGUACGGUCGCAAGGCUGAAACUUAAAGGAAUUGGCGGGGGAGCACAGCAACGGGAGGAGCGUGCGGUUU
rnacentral:rRNA from 1 species